rnacentral:pre_miRNA from 1 species
CUUUUAGCCUAAGUAUAUCCCAUACAAUAUUUGGGACAUACUUAUGCUAACA